GUGGGGAAUAUUGGACAAUGGGCGAAAGCCUGAUCCAGCCAUGCCGCGUGUGUGAAGAAGGUCUUCGGAUUGUAAAGCACUUUAAGUUGGGAGGAAGGGCAGUAAGUUAAUACGUUGCUACUUUGACGUUACCGACAGAAUAAGCACCGGCUAACUUCGUGCCAGCAGCCGCGGUAAUACGAAGGGUGCAAGCGUUAAUCGGAAUUACUGGGCGUAAAGCGCGCGUAGGUGGUUCAGUAAGUUGGAAGUGAAAUCCCCGGGCUCAACCUGGGAACUGCUUUAAAAACGGCGGAGCUAGGGUACGGUAGAGGGUGGUGGAAUUUCCUGUGUAGCGGUGAAAUGCGGAGAUAUAGGAAGGAACACCAGGGGCGAAGGCGACCACCGGGACUGAUACUGACACUGAGGUGCGAAAGCGUGGGGAGCAAACAGGAUUAGAAACCCGUGUAGUCC
rnacentral:rRNA from 1 species